AGCCGCGAACGGGUGAGUAACACGUGGGUUACCUGCCUCGAUGACCGGGACAACCCGAGGAAACUCGGGCUAAUACCGGAUGUGCCCGCAAGGGGAAAGGAAGCUUCGGCCUCCGCAUCGAGAUGGGCCCGCGGCCCAUUAGCUUGUUGGUGAGGUAACGGCUCACCAAGGCUUUGAUGGGUAGCUGGUCUGAGAGGACGAUCAGCCACACUGGGACUGAGACACGGCCCAAACUCCUACGGGAGGCAGCAGUGGGAAUCUUGCGCAAUGCGCGAAAGCGUGACGCAGCAACGCCGCGUGGGGGAAGAAGGCUUUCGGGUUGUAAACCCCUUUCAGUUGGGACGAAGCCUCAUCGGUUAAUAGCCGCGUGGGGUGACGGUACCUUCACAAGAAGCACCGGCUAACUACGUGCCAGCAGCCGCGGUAAUACGUAGGGGGCAAGCGUUGUCCGGAAUUAUUGGGCGUAAAGAGCGUGUAGGCGGCUUGAUUAGUCUGCUGUGAAAGUCCAGGGCUCAACCCUGGAAUGCCGGGUGGA
rnacentral:rRNA from 1 species